rnacentral:rRNA from 1 species
GGGUUGUGAGGUUAAGCGAACAAGCGUACACGGUGGAUGCCCUGGCAGUCAGAGGCGAUGAAGGACGUGCUAAUCUGCGAAAAGCGCCGGUAAGGUGAUAUGAACCGUUAUAACCGGCGAUGUCCGAAUGGGGAAACCCGGUGCACUUCGGUGCAUCAUCGUUAGCUGAAUACAUAGGCUAACGAAGCGAACCGGGGGAACUGAAACAUCUAAGUACCCCGAGGAAAAGAAAUCAACCGAGAUUCCCCCAGUAGCGGCGAGCGAACGGGGAACAGCCCAGAGCCUGAAUCAGCUUGUGUGUCAGUGGAACGGUCUGGAAAGGCCGGCGAUACAGGGUGACAGCCCCGUACACGAAGGCACACAGGCUGUGAGCUCGAUGAGUAGGGCGGGACACGUGAUAUCCUGUCUGAAGAUGGGGGGACCAUCCUCCAAGGCUAAAUACUCCUGACUGACCGAUAGUGAACCAGUACCGUGAGGGAAAGGCGAAAAGAACCCCGGCGAGGGGAGUGAAACAGAACCUGAAACCGUGUACGUACAAGCAGUGGGAGCCUUCGUAAGAGGGUGACUGCGUACCUUUUGUAUAAUGGGUCAGCGACUUAUAUUCUGUAGCAAGGUUAACCGUAUAGGGGAGCCGAAGGGAAACCGAGUCUUAAUUGGGCGUUAAGUUGCAGGGUAUAGACCCGAAACCCGGUGAUCUAGCCAUGGGCAGGUUGAAGGUUGGGUAACACUAACUGGAGGACCGAACCGACUAAUGUUGAAAAAUUAGCGGAUGACCUGUGGCUGGGGGUGAAAGGCCAAUCAAACCGGGAGAUAGCUGGUUCUCCCCGAAAGCUAUUUAGGUAGCGCCUCGUGAACUCAUCUCCGGGGGUAGAGCACUGUUUCGGCUAGGGGGCCAUCCCGGCUUACCAACCCGAUGCAAACUGCGAAUACCGGAGAAUGUUAUCACGGGAGACACACGGCGGGUGCUAACGUCCGUCGUGAAGAGGGAAACAACCCAGACCGCCAGCUAAGGUCCCAAAGUCAUGGUUAAGUGGGAAACGAUGUGGGAAGGCCCAGACAGCCAGGAUGUUGGCUUAGAAGCAGCCAUCAUUUAAAGAAAGCGUAAUAGCUCACUGGUCGAGUCGGCCUGCGCGGAAGAUGUAACGGGGCUAAACCAUGCACCGAAGCUGCGGCAGCGACACUAUGUGUUGUUGGGUAGGGGAGCGUUCUGUAAGCCUGUGAAGGUGUGCUGUGAGGCAUGCUGGAGGUAUCAGAAGUGCGAAUGCUGACAUAAGUAACGAUAAAGCGGGUGAAAAGCCCGCUCGCCGGAAGACCAAGGGUUCCUGUCCAACGUUAAUCGGGGCAGGGUGAGUCGACCCCUAAGGCGAGGCCGAAAGGCGUAGUCGAUGGGAAACAGGUUAAUAUUCCUGUACUUGGUGUUACUGCGAAGGGGGGACGGAGAAGGCUAUGUCGGCCGGGCGACGGUUGUCCCGGUUUAAGCGUGUAGGCUGACUUUCCAGGCAAAUCCGGAAAGUUAAGGCUGAGGCGUGAUGACGAGGCACCACGGUGCUGAAGUGACAAAUGCCCUGCUUCCAGGAAAAGCCUCUAAGCAUCAGGUAACAUCAAAUCGUACCCCAAACCGACACAGGUGGUCAGGUAGAGAAUACCAAGGCGCUUGAGAGAACUCGGGUGAAGGAACUAGGCAAAAUGGUGCCGUAACUUCGGGAGAAGGCACGCUGACAUGUAGGUGAAGCCCCUGCGGGUGGAGCUGAAGUCAGUCGAAGAUACCAGCUGGCUGCAACUGUUUAUUAAAAACACAGCACUGUGCAAACACGAAAGUGGACGUAUACGGUGUGACGCCUGCCCGGUGCCGGAAGGUUAAUUGAUGGGGUUAUCGCAAGAGAAGCUCCUGAUCGAAGCCCCGGUAAACGGCGGCCGUAACUAUAACGGUCCUAAGGUAGCGAAAUUCCUUGUCGGGUAAGUUCCGACCUGCACGAAUGGCGUAAUGAUGGCCAGGCUGUCUCCACCCGAGACUCAGUGAAAUUGAACUCGCUGUGAAGAUGCAGUGUACCCGCGGCAAGACGGAAAGACCCCGUGAACCUUUACUACAGCUUGACACUGAACAUUGAGCCUUGAUGUGUAGGAUAGGUGGGAGGCUUUGAAGCGUGGACGCCAGUCUGCGUGGAGCCGACCUUGAAAUACCACCCUUUAAUGUUUGAUGUUCUAACCUGGCGCCGUGAUCCGGCGUGGGGACAGUGUCUGGUGGGUAGUUUGACUGGGGCGGUCUCCUCCCAAAGUGUAACGGAGGAGCACGAAGGUCAGCUAAUCCUGGUCGGACAUCAGGAGGUUAGUGCAAUGGCAUAAGCUGGCUUGACUGCGAGAGUGACGGCUCGAGCAGGUGCGAAAGCAGGUCAUAGUGAUCCGGUGGUUCUGUAUGGAAGGGCCAUCGCUCAACGGAUAAAAGGUACUCCGGGGAUAACAGGCUGAUACCGCCCAAGAGUUCAUAUCGACGGCGGUGUUUGGCACCUCGAUGUCGGCUCAUCACAUCCUGGGGCUGAAGUAGGUCCCAAGGGUAUGGCUGUUCGCCAUUUAAAGUGGUACGCGAGCUGGGUUUAGAACGUCGUGAGACAGUUCGGUCCCUAUCUGCCGUGGGCGCUGGAGAAUUGAGGGGGGCUGCUCCCAGUACGAGAGGACCGGAGUGGACGCAUCACUGGUGUUCGGGUUGUCAUGCCAAUGGCACUGCCCGGUAGCUAAAUGCGGAAGAGAUAAGUGCUGAAAGCAUCUAAGCACGAAACUUGCCCCGAGAUGAGUUCUCCCUGAGACUGUAAGUCUCCUGAAGGAACGUUGAAGACGACGACGUUGAUAGGCCGGGUGUGUAAGCGCAGCGAUGCGUUGAGCUAACCGGUACUAA